UGGGGGAUUUUGCACAAUGGGCGCAAGCCUGAUGCAGCGACGCCGCGUGAGGGAUGAAGGCCUUCGGGUUGUAAACCUCUUUUGCUUGGUUGAAAGGCCAUGCUUUGGGUGUGGUUGAUUUGAACUGGUAAAGAAGUACCGGCUAACUACGUGCCAGCAGCCGCGGUAAUACGUAGGGUACUAGCGUUGUCCGGAUUUAUUGUGCGUAAAGGGCUUGUAGGUGGUGUGUCGCGUCUGUCGUGAAAUCCGGUGGCGUAACCAUGGGCUUGCGGGGGGUACGGGCAGGCUGGAGUGCGGUAGGGGAGACUGGAAUUCCGGGUGUAGCGGUGGGAUGCGCAGAUAUCAGGAGGAACACCGGUGGCGAAGGCGGGUCUCUGGGCCGUUACUGACACUGAGGAGCGAAAGCGUGGGGAGCGAACAGG
rnacentral:rRNA from 1 species